ACAACUGGUUUGAAAGCGCUGCUGCUACUCCUUUAAGAGGUCGGGACUUCCUGAAACGGUAUUGCCAUAUGAAAUAGACGACAAUAUCGCACACACAGAAGAGGGUAGCGCAGACUUUCUUCGCCGAAGAGGACCGUUUAUCCACCAGGUGGUGAUAAAAAACGAAUUUCGUCUAUUUUUGGCCGCUGGAAGUCAAGCUUCUGUAUGCUGUAUUGUUGCGGAAGUAGCGACGAGGACAGCGUGAACGGAGAGAAAGCGUUGCUGAACAGGCAGAGCGAGGGAGAGACCGCGAGCGCACGAGCAGAACCGGAGAUGUACGGAAUGUCGGGCAUACCCGAUCUUCUCCCGCCGGCGAGUUCCCUGCAGCCCGCUCCGGUCCACGAGCAGGCCAUGGGGAAUGGGCUGGGCGGUCAGCUAAGCUUCGACUCUCCACGGAGGAGACAGCGGGCU